rnacentral:rRNA from 1 species
UACAGGGGGUGCAAACGUUGCUCGGAAUCAUUGGGCGUAAAGCGCACGUAGGCGGUUCGUUAUGUCGGAUGUGAAAGCCCUUGGCUUAACCGAGGAAGUGCAUCCGAAACUGGCGAGCUAGAGUACGAAAGAGGAUCGCGGAAUUCCCGGUGUAGAGGUGAAAUUCGUAGAUAUCGGGAGGAACACCGGUGGCGAAGGCGGCGAUCUGGGUCGAUACUGACGCUGAGGCGCGAAAGCGUGGGGAGCAAACAGGG